rnacentral:rRNA from 1 species
UUGUUGUAAGUGUGUAAGGGCGUUCGGUGGAUGCCUUGGUACCAGGAGCCGAUGAAGGACGUGGUAGGCCGCGAUAGUCCUCGGGGAGUUGUCAAACGAGCUGUGAUCCGAGGGUGUCCGAAUGGGGAAACCCAGCACGAGUGAUGUCGUGUUACCACCAGCUGAAUGUAUAGGCUGUGUGGGGGGAACGUGGGGAAGUGAAACAUCUCAGUACCCAUAG